CCCUACAACAGUAUUGAGCAAUUCUAUACCCCUAUAGAACUCACCCUGCUAAAAUUAGUAACACGAAGAACCCCCUUCUCUACGAUUCAAACGUAAAUCAGCACGGCCAAACCACUGAUAAUUAGCGCCCAUGAACCCCCAGCGGCAACCUAACAAGAAAACCCCGCCCAUCACCUGCGUUAACCUAACACAAGAGAAUCUCAAGAAAGAUUAAAAAAAGCGGAAGGAACUCGGCAAACCUCAGCCCCGCCUGUUUACCAAAAACAUCGCCUCUUGCCUCAAUAAGAGGUCCCGCCUGCCCAGUGACCCAAUUCAACGGCCGCGGUAUCCUGACCGUGCGAAGGUAGCGUAAUCACUUGUUCUUUAAAUAAGGACUAGUAUGAACGGCACCACGAAGGCUGCACUGUCUCCCGCCUUUAAUCAGUGAACUUAAUCUCCCCGUGAAGAAGCGGGGAUAUAAUCAUAAGACGAGAAGACCCCAUGGAGCUUAAAACAAACGGCACCUGCUAACAACUAAGUUAAGCACCUUGACCGUACGUUUUCGGUUGGGGCGACCGCGGAGAACAACCCACCCUCCAUGCUGAAAGAUAAUAAUCUUAGCCAAAACAACCCAUUAAAGCACCAGAAUCCUGACAUUCAUUGACCCAAGCUAUUUGAUCAACGAACCAAGUUACCCUGGGGAUAACAGCGCAAUCCACUUCAAGAGCCCCUAUCGACAAGUGGGUUUACGACCUCGAUGUUGGAUCAGGGUCCCCAAGCGG
rnacentral:rRNA from 1 species